GCGGAGGAAAAGAAACCAACAGGGAUUGCCCUAGUAACGGCGAGUGAAGCGGCAACAGCUCAAAUUUGAAAGCUGGCUCCGGCCCGCGUUGUAAUUUGCAGAGGAUGCUUCUGGCAAGGUGCCUUCCGAGUUCCCUGGAACGGGACGCCACAGAGGGUGAGAGCCCCGUAUGGAUGGACACCAAGCCUGUGUGAAGCUCCUUCAACGAGUCGAGUAGUUUGGGAAUGCUGCUCAAAAUGGGAGGUAAAUCUCUUCUAAAGCUAAAUACCGGCCAGAGACCGAUAGCGCACAAGUAGAGUGAUCGAAAGAUGAAAAGCACCUUGAAAAGGGGGUUAAACAGUACGUGAAAUUGUUGAAAGGGAAGCGCUUGUGACCAGACUUGCGCCGGGCGGCUCAUCAGGGGUUCUCCCCUGUGCACUCCGCCCGGCUCAGGCCAGCAUCGGUUCUCGCGGGGGGAUAAGAACGGUGGGAACGUGGCCCCCCUCCGGGGGGGUGUUAUAGCCCGCCGUACGAUACCCUCGCGGGGACCGAGGUUCGCGCUCCGCAAGGAUGCUGGCGUAAUGGUCAUCAGCGACCCGUCUUGAAACACGGACCAAGGAGUCGUCCAUUAGAGCGAGCGUUUGGGUGUAAAACCCGCACGCGUAAUGAAAGUGAACGCAGGUGAGAGCUUCGGCGCAUCAUCGACCGAUCCUGAUGUCUUCGGAUGGAUUUGAGUAAGAGUUUUAACGGACGGACCCGAAAGACAGUGAACUAUGCUUGUAUAGGGUGAAGCCAGAGGAAACUCUGGUGGAGGCUCGCAGCGGUUCUGACGUGCAAAUCGAUCGUCAAAUAUGAGCAUGGGGGCGAAAGACUAAUCGAACUGUCUAGUAGCUGGUUACCGCCGAUGUUCUCUCUCGGAAAAUUCCUACCUGAUCCGAGGUCAAAUUUUCAGAAGUUGGGGGGUUUUACGGCAGGGCCCCGCCAGUACGAUCCAAAGCGAGGUUUACACUACUGCGCUCGGAGUCCUGGCAAGUUCCCCCUAGAUUUCAGGGCUUACCCUCCUGCAGGAUAGCAUUCCGGGUAAUGCCCCAACACCAAGCUGGGCUUGAG
rnacentral:sRNA from 1 species